UACGGAGGGAGCUAGCGUUGUUCGGAAUUAUUGGGCGUAAAGCGCACGUAGGCGGCAUUGCAAGUCGGAUGUGAAAUCUUAUGGCUUAACCAUAAAAGUGCAUCCGAAACUGCAGUGCUUGAGUACUUAAGAGGAUCGCGGAAUUCCCGGUGUAGAGGUGAAAUUCGUAGAUAUCGGGAGGAACACCAGUGGCGAAGGCGGCGAUCUGGGAAGAUACUGACGCUGAGGUGCGAAAGCGUGGGGAGCAAACAGG
rnacentral:rRNA from 1 species